GUGUGUGUGUGUGUGUUUGUAUGUGGGUAUAAGCAUGUGUGUAUGUGUGUGUACAAGCAGUGGUCCAGACUGUGCAGACCCAGAUCAAACUGGAGCAGUGGAUAGAAGAGAAGCAAGCAGGAGGCCUGUGAAGCUACAAAAGCCAUUAAGAGAGGAUUCUGAGAUGGCUCUUCACUUACCAUUGCUCUUCUUGCUAAAGCAAAACCCAAUAAUGGUUUCCUAGGUAACAGACAGAGUGGCCCAGACUGACUGGAAUCCCAUGUGUGUCUACAGUACAGCAUCAAUUUGAUAGGCUACAGAUCAAGUGAACUGGAUCUAUGUGCAAUGCAAUGGCAUCUAUUCUCUGUGAGCUGGAGUGAGGGGCCCUUUCUCACGAUGGUUAAAUUGUGUUCGCCGGGGUGAGAGUUUAAGAAAUAGAAAUGUGAGAAAACGGCACUGGGCUCAUUUCCCUGCUGAAGAAAGUUCUUGAGCACAAUGAGUUGACGUCAGACUUGGUGACUCUAGCCACUGUCAUGGUGAAGAAAAGCAAACAACACAGUCUUGCUGGGUAGCACGGGUUGGCCACCAACCCCAAGUCCUGCAGCCUCAGCCUCUGGAUUGUUAGGAUGACAGGAGAAGAAGCAAAUUAGAUCGAGGAGAAGUCAGUCCGACCAAGGAGAACAGAAGCAUGCGACGACCCAGCAUUCUGUCCAAUGCAUGUGGUAUCCAGUCAAGAAAACACAGCCGAACUCGAGACCCAUCCCAUGGACAAGCACCAGUCCCUGACACUGUUAAUGAUCCUCUUAAUGCUUGCAGAUAGGAGCCUAGCC